rnacentral:tRNA from 7 species
GCCGGAAUAGCUCAGUUGGUAGAGCAGAGGACUGAAAAUCCUCGUGUCC